rnacentral:rRNA from 1 species
CUGACAUAAGUAACGAUAAAGCGGGUGAAAAGCCCGCUCGCCGGAAGACCAAGGGUUCCUGUCCAACGUUAAUCGGGGCAGGGUGAGUCGACCCCUAAGGCGAGGCCGAAAGGCGUAGUCGAUGGGAAACGGGUUAAUAUUCCCGUACUUGGUGUUACUGCGAAGGGGGGACGGAGAAGGCUAUGUUGGCCGGGCGACGGUUGUCCCGGUUUAAGCGUGUAGGUGUGUGUUCCAGGUAAAUCCGGUUCACUUUAACACUGAGGCGUGACGACGAGGCACUACGGUGCUGAAGCAACAAAUGCCCUGCUUCCAGGAAAAGCCUCUAAGCAUCAGGUAACACGAAAUCGUACCCCAAACCGACACAGGUGGUCAGGUAGAGAAUACCAAGGCGCUUGAGAGAACUCGGGUGAAGGAACUAGGCAAAAUGGUGCCGUAACUUCGGGAGAAGGCACGCUGACACGUAGGUGAAGUGAUUUACUCAUGGAGCUGAAGUCAGUCGAAGAUACCAGCUGGCUGCAACUGUUUAUUAAAAACACAGCACUGUGCAAACACGAAAGUGGACGUAUACGGUGUGACGCCUGCCCGGUGCCGGAAGGUUAAUUGAUGGGGUCAGCGCAAGCGAAGCUCCUGAUCGAAGCCCCGGUAAACGGCGGCCGUAACUAUAACGGUCCUAAGGUAGCGAAAUUCCUUGUCGGGUAAGUUCCGACCUGCACGAAUGGCGUAAUGAUGGCCAGGCUGUCUCCACCCGAGACUCAGUGAAAUUGAACUCGCUGUGAAGAUGCAGUGUACCCGCGGCAAGACGGAAAGACCCCGUGAACCUUUACUAUAGCUUGACACUGAACAUUGAGCCUUGAUGUGUAGGAUAGGUGGGAGGCUUUGAAGUGUGGACGCCAGUCUGCAUGGAGCCGACCUUGAAAUACCACCCUUUAAUGUUUGAUGUUCUAACGUGGACCCGUGAUCCGGGUUGCGGACAGUGUCUGGUGGGUAGUUUGACUGGGGCGGUCUCCUCCUAAAGAGUAACGGAGGAGCACGAAGGUUGGCUAAUCCUGGUCGGACAUCAGGAGGUUAGUGCAAUGGCAUAAGCCAGCUUGACUGCGAGCGUGACGGCGCGAGCAGGUGCGAAAGCAGGUCAUAGUGAUCCGGUGGUUCUGAAUGGAAGGGCCAUCGCUCAACGGAUAAAAGGUACUCCGGGGAUAACAGGCUGAUACCGCCCAAGAGUUCAUAUCGACGGCGGUGUUUGGCACCUCGAUGUCGGCUCAUCACAUCCUGGGGCUGAAGUAGGUCCCAAGGGUAUGGCUGUUCGCCAUUUAAAGUGGUACGCGAGCUGGGUUUAGAACGUCGUGAGACAGUUCGGUCCCUAUCUGCCGUGGGCGCUGGAGAACUGAGGGGGGCUGCUCCUAGUACGAGAGGACCGGAGUGGACGCAUCACUGGUGUUCGGGUUGUCAUGCCAAUGGCACUGCCCGGUAGCUAAAUGCGGAAGAGAUAAGUGCUGAAAGCAUCUAAGCACGAAACUUGCCCCGA